CAGGGAGACAACAAAAUGUUAAAUAUUAAUUUUGUCACCUUAGGUCGAUCGGUAUCUCACAUUCUUAAUUUAUUAAGGAUUUUAUUUCCUAAGUUUUUUCUAGGUCACACCCAUUACUUUUCCUGGGCCAUUAGCUCAGGUGGUUAGAGCGCACCCCUGAUAAGGGUGAGGUCCCUGGUUCAAGUCCAGGAUGGCCCAUAUCUCUAUGUUGGGGGUAUAGCUCAGUUGGUAGAGCGCCUGCUUUGCAAGCAGGAUGUCAGCGGUUCGAGUCCGCUUACCUCCACUGAUUACCACCUCUUCCAUAAUUUUUAGAAUGGAAAUGUUUUGAGUUGUGAUCAAAUUCUGAACGAAUCUAGCUUCCUAAUUUUCUAAAUUAAGAUGCUGGACUCAUUGAAUUAAUUUCUUUGUUUUCAGAGAACCUUGACAACUGCAUAGAUUAUUUUUAAAGACAAUAAGCAUCUUUAAUGAUGCAGAUUUAUUAUUUAUGUGUAAUGCAUUAAUAACAAUUCUAUUAAGCUGAUGCUUCAAUUUUUGAAGUUAUU
rnacentral:tRNA from 1 species